rnacentral:rRNA from 1 species
UACAGAGGUCGCAAGCGUUGUUCGGAUUUACUGGGCGUAAAGGGCGCGUAGGCGGCAGGGCAUGUCAAGUGUGAAAUCUCCGGGCUCAACCCGGAAAGUGCGCUUGAAACUACCUUGCUUGAGUCUGGGAGAGGGAAUCGGAAUAUAGGGUGUAGCGGUGAAAUGCGUUGAUAUCCUAUAGAACACCGGAGGCGAAGGCGGAUUCCUUGAACAGUACUGACGCUGAGGCGCGAAAGUCGGGGGAGCAAACAGG